rnacentral:rRNA from 1 species
GAUGAACGCUGACAGAAUGCUUAACACAUGCAAGUCGAUGGGGAAGUGGUGCUUGCACCUUGGCAACCAUGGCGGACGGGUGAGUAACGCGUAAGGGACUUACCUGCAGGACUGGGAUAACAGGGGGAAACUCCUGACAAGACCGGAUAAUGUCAUGGAGCUGCAUGGCUUUUUGAUGAAAGGAGACGCCUGCGGAGAGCCUUGCGUCCUAUUAGCUAGUUGGUGAGGUAAUGGCUCACCAAGGCGAAGAUAGGUAGCCGGCCUGAGAGGGUGGACGGCCACAAGGGGACUGAGAUACGGCCCUUACUCCUACGGGAGGCAGCAGUGGGGAAUAUUGGACAAUGGGGGCAACCCUGAUCCAGCAAUUCUGUGUGCACGAAGAAGGUUUUCGGAUUGUAAAGUGCUUUCAGCAGGGAAGAAGUAAGUGACGGUACCUGCAGAAGAAGCGACGGCUAAAUACGUG